UCCAUGUCCUACGUUCAGCACAGGGCCUGCCUGGCAUGCAGCGCACAAUAAUGACAGUAUUGCCCCCAGGUAGGUCCCCCUCAGUGAUGCAAGAUGGCUGCCAAGAUCCAGGCAUCACAGCAUGUCCAGACAUGGCAGCAUCCAGAAGAAGAAGAGAAGCAGAGGGAUAAUCUCUUCCUGUCUCCUUCUAAGGACUAAAGAUUUCUUUCCUGGAAGGAUCCUCAGCGGAUGGUUCCCGUCAUGUCUCUAGCCAGAGUUGGCUCUUCUGGCCAUUCCUGCCCCAUGGCUAGUGAGGGCAACAGGAUGAUCACGUCCAUGUAUGGCAAUCCUUCACAGUUGAGUGGAGGUCAGUGUAUCAACACGCUCAACUUCUUUCAGAUCAAAAUAGAAAGGUCUCAGCAUCUGCUGGUUUUCUCUGUGAUGAUGGCAUUUUCUUCCCUUUACCCAUCUCAGAUACUCUAGAGAGAGAGCCAAAUACAGGUGAGAGGCCCGGGCUUUCUUCUCCCCAGAGGCGACCACCAUUUUAAUGCACAUACAAAGGACCGUGAAUGCACGGGCUGCCAGAAGCAGGCCCACCUUGCCAGAAGGGAGUGCUUUGACAAAACCAGGGGACGCACAGCACAUUCAGCUUUCCGCUCCCAAACGAACCGCCCAAAGGGUGCCAAAAAAUGCUUUUAGCACCAUUUAGCGCUAAAAAUAUAGUAUUGCGUAUAGGUUUUUUUUUUUCCUCCAGAAUUCCUAAGUUUGGGCAAAAAUUAACUCUCUGUGUCUGCAUCUUCCUGUUCUCUGUGCAGUCUGGAAAUGUUACAUUUCAAGGUCCGAUGGACUGGCUAGAAGAAAGCCUAGGACCCGGGACAUCCAGGAUGGGCGGCAAAGGUCUAGGGUCAGCUAAUCCAGGCUGGGCUCAGCUGGGAGUGACUGUGUCUCUCACCCUCCUUCCAGGACCCACAGGCCAGGAAAAACAACUUGUGUGGGCCAAAGAAACCUGCCCUCAGACCACCGUUUUUCGAUCUUCUCUCAAUUUCAUCAAUGGCAAUGUUCAGUGUGUGUAUCUCCACAUUCCCUUCCGAUCACCCUGGCAGACAUUGCUAAUUGCUCCUAGCACUCCUUCCCCUCGUUCCCACUCCACUCCAGCAGGACUUCAUCCAGUGUUCUGGGAAGCCACAGCCAGUCAUCUGGUGUUGACAGAGGAGCCCUUCGUUUUAGAGGUGGAGAAGGACUGGUUUUAGCUCACCCGUAGCCAAAGAUGUGAACGUGUUAGCUUUUCUCUGGCCACUUGCCCGGGAUGGACACAGAUAGAAGCUAAAAGCUGCUGUGUAUGCUUGGAGGUUUUUUACCCUCGUUCAAAAUUAUAGGUUUGGAGCUGAAGCAUCUUAAAAUGCGGAAGGCACAGGCAAUGGCUGCAGCCCCAGCGGCCCGCCCCUACUCCCCACAGGCCCCAGAGGCAGUGG